rnacentral:rRNA from 1 species
AAUAGAUACCCAGGUAGUCCACGCCGUAAACGAUGUCGACUUGGAGGUUGUUCCCUUGAGGAGUGGCUUCCGGAGCUAACGCGUUAAGUCGACCGCCUGGGGAGUACGGCCGCAAGGUUAAAACUCAAAUGAAUUGACGGGGGCCCGCACAAGCGGUGGAGCAUGUGGUUUAAUUCGAUGCAACGCGAAGAACCUUACCUACUCUUGACAUCCAGAGAACUUAGCAGAGAUGCUUUGGUGCCUUCGGGAACUCUGGGACAGGUGCUGCAUGGCUGUCGUCAGCUCGUGUUGUGAAAUGUUGGGUUAAGUCCCGCAACGAGCGCAACCCUUAUCCUUUGUUGCCAGCGGUUCGGCCGGGAACUCAAAGGAGACUGCCAGUGAUAAACUGGAGGAAGGUGGGGAUGACGUCAAGUCAUCAUGGCCCUUACGAGUAGGGCUACACACGUGCUACAAUGGCGUAUACAAAGAGAAGCGACCUCGCGAGAGCAAGCGGACCUCAUAAAGUACGUCGUAGUCCGGAUUGGAGU